rnacentral:rRNA from 1 species
AACGAACGCUGGCAGCAUGCCUAACACAUGCAAGUCGAACGAGAUCUUCGGGUCUAGUGGCGCACGGGUGCGUAACGCGUGGGAAUCUGCCCUUUGGUUCGGAAUAACAGUUGGAAACGACUGCUAAUACCGGAUGAUGACGAAAGUCCAAAGAUUUAUCGCCAGAGGAUGAGCCCGCGUAGGAUUAGCUAGUUGGUGUGGUAAAGGCGCUCCACGGCGACGAUCCUUAGCUGGUCUGAGAGGAUGAUCAGCCACACUGGGACUGAGACACGGCCCAGACUCCUACGGGAGGCAGCAGUGGGGAAUAUUGGACAAUGGGCGAAAGCCUGAUCCAGCAAUGCCGCGUGAGUGAUGAAGGCCUUAGGGUUGUAAAGCUCUUUUACCCGGGAUGAUAAUGACAGUACCGGGAGAAUAAGCUCCGGCUAACUCCGUGCCAGCCGCCGCCGUAA